AUUGAACGCUAGCGGCAGGCCUAACACAUGCAAGUCGAGCGAGCGGCGGACGGGUUAGUAAUGUAUGGGGAUAUGCCCGAUAGAUGGGGAUAACUACUGGAAACGGUUGCUAAUACCGCAUACUAUAGGCUCAAACCAUAUGGGAGUAGCUAGUAGGUGGGGGAAAGGCUCACCUAGGCGACGAGCUCUUGCUGGUCUGAGAGGAUGAUCAGCCACACGGGGACUGAGACACGGCCCAGACUCCUACGGGAGGCAGCAGGGGGGAAUAGUGGACAAUGGGCGCAAGCCUGAUGCAGCCAUGCCGCGUGUAUGAAGAAGGCCUUAGGGUUGUAAAGUACUUUCAGCGGGGAGGCGUUACCCGCAGAAGAAGCACCGGCUAACUCCGUGCCAGCAGCCGCGGUAAUAC
rnacentral:rRNA from 1 species